AUUCUAUCUUAUUCCACAGUACUAUAAGUAUUGAAAUAUAAUAUAGUAUGGUGGGGGAAGAUGGGACAC
ensembl:miRNA cin-mir-5596b cin-mir-5596b